UAUAGGAGAUAGAAAUUUAAAGCGCUAUAGAGAUAGUACCGUAAGGGAAAGAUGAAAGAAAAAAAAUAAAGUACAUAAUAGCAUAGAUUACACCUAGUACCUUUUGCAUAAUGAGUUAACUAGAAAAUUUUGACAAAAAGCAUUUAAGCCAAACCCCGAAACCAAACGAGCUACCCUCAGACAGCUAUAAUUGAGCAAACUCGUCUAUGUGGCAAAAUAGUGAGAAGAUCUGAAGGUAGAGGUGAAAAGCCAAUCGAGUUUGGAGAUAGCUGGUUAUCCAAAUAAGAAUUUUAGUUCAACUUUAAAUUUUUCCUAAAUAAAAAUUUUAAUGAAAAUUUAUAUGUUAACUUAAGGGGGGACAGCCCCUUAAAGGAUACAUCCUUCAAUAGAGGGUAAAUAAUAUUAUUACCAUAGUAGGCCNNNNNNNNNNNNNNNNNNNNNNNNNNNNNNNNNNNNNNNACAAUUGGAUUAAUCUAUAUUAUAUAGAAGAGAUAAUGUUAAUAUCAGUAACAAGAAUAAUUCUCCUUGCACAAGUUUAAGUUAAAUAUUAACCAAUUAACAAUCUUAUAAAAAAUAUACUAACUAGUUAGUUAUAUUGUUAACCCAACUCAGGAGUGCAAAAAGGAAAGACCAAAAUAAACAAAAGGAACUCGGCAAACAUAAACCCCGCCUGUUUACCAAAAACAUCACCUCUAGCAUAACAAGUAUUAGAGGCAAUGCCUGCCCAGUGGUUCAACGGCCGCGGUAUCCUGACCGUGCAAAGGUAGCAUAAUCACUUGUUCCUUAAAUGGGGACUGGUAUGAAAGGCUUGACGAGGGUUUAACUGUCUCUUGUUUAUAGUCAGUGAAAUUGACCUUUCCGUGAAGAGGCGGAAAUAAUACAAUAAGACGAGAAGACCCUAUGGAGCUUAAAUUUUCUAGCUCAUAACAAUAUGUAAUCAAAACCAUGAGUUAACAAUUUUGGUUGGGGUGACCUCGGAGCAAAACCAAACCUCCGAAUGAUAUUAACCUAGACUACAAGUCAAAGUUUCUAAUUGACCCAGAACAUCUGAUCAACGGACCAAGUUACCCUAGGGAUAACAGCGCAAUCCUAUUUUAGAGUUCAUAUCGACAAUAGGGUUUACGACCUCGAUGUUGGAUCAGGACCCCCAAAUGGUGCAGCCGCUAUUAAAGGUUCGUUUGUUC
rnacentral:rRNA from 1 species